rnacentral:sRNA from 1 species
GUUGGCAUGUGAUCCUUCAGAAGUGAAUAUCAUCUUUCAUGGGGUGGCAAAAAUGCCACUAUUUUGAGAAAGUCUUUUUGAUUCCUGGAUACCUGUAAUGACCUAAAGCUCUUUUAUGCCUUUUGGAACCUUGUAUCUUGUAUUGUUUAUUUUUGUUUUCUCCAUUAAGUCAUCUGGCUCCAAACAGCAGUUUUAACCUCAUUCGUCUCUGUAUGUUGCUUUAUCCCCUCUACACUGCAUUGCUGUAGUGGGCACUCAGAGUGUGAAUGUUGGUAGUGGAUUUUUACUUUUUGUUGGCAAAUUGCGCUGAUUUGAUUCCAGCUAUGGAAAACAUUAAAAAAAAAAAUUCAACAUUGUCUUUACACUCACAGGAAAUCCUAGGUAACUAUUGUCAUUAAUUUUUAGAUGACAAAAAGGAACUUGGAGCAGCCAGAAGAAGUCAGUAUUACAUGAAAUAUGGGAAUCCAAAUUACGGAGGCAUGAAAGGAAUUCUUAGCAAUUCCUGGAAGCGAAGAUAUCAUUCCCGUCGUAUUCAGCGGGACGUGAUCAAGAAGAGAGCCCUGAUUGGGGAUGACGUUGGCUUGACGUCGUAUAAACAUCGACAUUCUGGGCUAGUGAAUGUUCCUGAGGAACCCAUUGAAGAGGAGGAAGAGGAGGAGGAGGAGGAAGAGGAAGAGGAAGAAGAAGACCAGGACAUGGAUGCAGAUGACAGAGUGGUGGUAGAGUACCACGAGGAGCUCCCGGCUCUCAAGCAGCCCCGGGAGCGGAGCGCGUCUAGACGAUCCAGUGCCAGCAGCUCAGACUCAGAUGAAAUGGACUAUGAUCUAGAACUGAAAAUGAUUUCCACGCCUUCACCAAAGAAAAGCAUGAAAAUGACUAUGUAUGCUGACGAAGUGGAGUCUCAGUUGAAAAAUAUUAG